rnacentral:rRNA from 1 species
UGGGGAAUUUUGCACAAUGGGGGAAACCCUGAUGCAGCGACGCCGCGUGAUUUAGAAGGCCUUCGGGUUGUAAAAAUCUUUUCUAUGGGAAGAAAAUGACAGUACCAUAGGAAUAAGGACCGGCUAGUUACGUGCCAGCAGCCGCGGUAAUACGUAAGGUCCGAGCGUUGUCCGGAAUCAUUGGGCGUAAAGGGUACGUAGGCGGGUAAGCAAGUUAGAAGUGAAAUCCUGUAGCUCAACUACAGUAAGCUUUUAAAACUGCUCAUCUUGAGAUAUGGAAGGGAAAGUGGAAUUCCUAGUGUAGCGGUGAAAUGCGCAGAUAUUAGGAGGAAUACCGGUGGCGAAGGCGACUUUCUGGCCAUAAUCUGACGCUGAGGUACGAAAGCGUGGGUAGCAAACAGG